rnacentral:misc_RNA from 1 species
GGCGGNCGACCUGGUUCCGACCCAGGCGGCCGGCGCNCCCNGCNNCAACUGGCCAGGAAGCUCGGGUAAGCGCCCNCCNNGAACAAAACUCAAGAAUUCAUUUUGUGAAGACCUGAUAAAUCAUUUAAUUGAUUAAAAUUUUCUACAACGGAUCUCUUGGCUCUGGCAUCGAUGAAAAACGCAGCGAAAGGCGAUAAGNAAUGUGAAUUGCAGAAUUCAGUGAAUCAUCGAAUCUUUGAACGCACAUUGCGCCCUCUGGUAUUCCGGANNGCUGNCUGUCCGAGNGUCAUUUCNACCCUCAAGNUCAGCUUGCNAUUGGGCUUCGUCCGCAGGUUCUCCCACNGAGGACGCUUCCNUCAAGGAUUCGAGGCGCCGCAAAAACGCUUCUAAUAGCNAGUAAGCUUUAGAACUCAGAACGGCCACGANUAANCGCUGGACUUAAGAUUAUCAAUAAGUNGANGAAGAACUU